rnacentral:rRNA from 1 species
CCUACGGGAGGCAGCAGUGGGGAAUAUUGCACAAUGGGGGAAACCCUGAUGCAGCCACGCCGCGUGAAGGAAGACGGUUCUCGGAUUGUAAACCUCUGUUCUUAGUGAAGAAUACUGACGUUAGCUAAGGAGUAAGCCACGGCUAACUACGUGCCAGCAGCCGCGGUAAUACGUAGGUGGCAAGCGUUGUCCGGAAUUACUGGGUGUAAAGGGAGUGCAGGCGGGAAGCCAAGUCAGCUGUGAAAACUACGGGCUUAACUUGUAGACUGCAGUUGAAACUGGUUGUCUUGAGUGAAGUAGAGGUAGGCGGAAGUCCGGGUGUAGCGGUGAAAUGCGUAGAUAUUCGGAGGAACACCGAUGGCGAAGGCAGCCAACUGGGCUAUAACUGACGCUGAGGCUCGAAAGUGUGGGGAGCAAACAGGAUUAGAUACCCGAGUAGUC